UUUCACUCAUUUUCCCAGAUGAUAAUGCAGCAGAUAACUGAAACAAUCGUGCAAAUGGUGAUACAAGCACUAAAGUUGGUACAAAUACUCUUUAGAUAUUACUCUGUGGAACAAACCAACUGGCCACUUGAAUUUUCAAUAAGCAGCCAGGUAGGGGUCAAUUGAAGAAUUACACAGGGGUCUAAAUU